CUUCUCCAAUGCUAAAAUUUAUCAUCCUCACAAUCAUACUAAUACCCCUAACUUGGCUAUCAAAAAGUAUAGUAUAAUCUGAAUUAACUCCACAACCCACAGCCUACUAAUUAGUCUCACAAGCCUACUUCUUCUUAACCAAUUCAAUGACAAUAGCCUCAACUUCUCAUUAACAUUCUUCUCUGACUCCCUCUCCCCACCAUUACUAAUCCUAACAAUAUGACUCCUUCCCCUAAUACUAAUAGCCAGCCAAUCUUACCUACUCAAAGAGCCACUAAUC